CGACUAUAAAAUUUUAAAAUGUUUCCAGGUUGAUUUUUUGUAUGGCAAGAAACGAUCAUUCAGGCUAUCCAUUGAAAUGGUUUAAGGAUCAAAAUGCUACAAGACAUGCUUAUGAAUGUGCUAUAUGUUUGGAAGUUUUGAAAGAUCCCGUCCAAGUCCGUGAUUGUGGACAUCAAUUUUGUGCUCUCUGUAUUGAUGAUAUUCUCAAGUUAGUUUCACUUUCAAUAUUCUUCUUUGACAUUACACAGCA